rnacentral:lncRNA from 1 species
UUUUUUCUCUUCUUCAACUUUUUUUUUUCUUUCUCGCCGAAGAAUCUUGAGAAAAUUGGAAUUAAACUAAUCUUCAGGUUUGUAUUUCAAUCUCUCUGUAUAGCUAAUUAGUUUUUAGGAUUCGUAAGUUUUGUUUCAAUCGUUCUUAUUGAUCAAUCUAGGGUUUUGUGAUUUUGGUUUGAUUCGGGCAUUAAUCUUCUUCUUCUUCAUCGUGUUUGGUUUUUUAGGUUUUCAGAUUUUACUAACUGUUCUAUAUGUUGUACUGAUCUAGGGUUUGGGUUUCUUUCUUCUCCCUUUGAUCUUCUUCGUGAUUUUCUUAAGGGUUUUGAAAUUUAACCAAUCUUUUGCUGUUUUGACCCAAAAAAAACUAAUCUUUUGCUGUUUUGUUUAAUCUUGUUUUAGGGAUUAUGUUUCGAAUCUAACCACGGAAGCUUCGUCGAGGUAUGUUUUUCCAAUCUCUUCGGUUUUGUUUUUGUUUUUGAUUUUGUUUUCGAUUUUGUUGUUUUCAGUUUUUUGAGGAUUUGAGCAGUUGACUUUUGUUGUAUUGUGAUUCUGGAAUCAAGUUUUUGUUUUGGGUUUUUGUUUUCUUGUUCCAGAAAAAAAAAA